CCUACGGGAGGCUGCAGUGGGGAAUAUUGGGCAAUGGGCGCAAGCCUGAACCAGCACCGCCGCGUGAAGGAAGAAGGCUUUCGGGUUGUAAACUUCUUUUCUCAGGGACGAAGCAAGUGCCGGUACCUGAGGAAUCAGCCCCGGCUACCUAAGUUCCAGCAGCAGCGGGAAUACGUAGGUGGCAAGCGUUAUCCGGAUUUACGGGGUGUAAAGGGCGUGUAGGCGGGACUGCAAGUAAGAUGGGAAACCCACGGGCUCAACAUGUGGACUGCAUUUGAAACGGUAGUUCUUGAGUAAUGGAGAGGCAGACGGAAUUCCUAGUGUAGCGGUGAAAUGCGUAGAUAUUAGGAGGACCACCAGUGGCGAAGGCGGUCUGCUGGACAGCAACUGACGCUGAGGCGCGAAAGCGUGGGGAGCAAACAGGAUUAGAUACCCUAGUAGUC
rnacentral:rRNA from 1 species